UGGGGAAUUUUGGACAAUGGGCGAAAGCCUGAUCCAGCAAUGCCGCGUGUGUGAAGAAGGCCUUCGGGUUGUAAAGCACUUUUGUCCGGAAAGAAAUCCUUGGCUCUAAUACAGUCGGGGGAUGACGGUACCGGAAGAAUAAGCACCGGCUAACUACGUGCCAGCAGCCGCGGUAAUACGUAGGGUGCAAGCGUUAAUCGGAAUUACUGGGCGUAAAGCGUGCGCAGGCGGUUUGCUAAGACCGAUGUGAAAUCCCCGGGCUCAACCUGGGAACUGCAUUGGUGACUGGCAGGCUAGAGUAUGGCAGAGGGGGGUAGAAUUCCACGUGUAGCAGUGAAAUGCGUAGAGAUGUGGAGGAAUACCGAUGGCGAAGGCAGCCCCCUGGGCCAAAUACUGACGCUCAUGCACGAAAGCGUGGGGAGCAAACAGGAUUAGAUACCCGUAGGUCACGCCCUAAACGAUGUCAACUAGUUGUUGGGGAUUCAUUUCCUUAGUAACGUAGCUAACGCGUGAAGUUGACCGCCUGGGGAGUACGGUCGCAAGAUUAAAACUCAAAUGAAUUGACGGGGUCAUAGCUGUUUCC
rnacentral:rRNA from 1 species